AUCUCCUGGCAGUGGGCAAAGAGACAUUUGUUGGUGCUCUUACAUCAGUCAGGGCAGAGCAGAUGGCAGUACUUUGUUCAUCCUGGCUUGAUGCUUGGCUUGAUGGCCAAUGCUGUUGCAUGCCUGGGGCACAUAA
rnacentral:snoRNA from 1 species